rnacentral:rRNA from 1 species
GAUGAACGCUGGCGGCGUGCCUAAUACAUGCAAGUCGAGCGAACGGACGAUAAGCUUGCUUCUCUGAUGUUAGCGGCUGACGGGUGAGUAACACGUGGAUAACCUACCUAUAUGACUGGGAUAACUUCGGGAAACCGGUGCUACUACCGGAUGAUAUUUUGAACCGCAUGGUUCAAAAGUGAAAGACGGUCUUCCUGUCACUUAUAGCUGGAUCCGCGCUGCAUUAGCUAGUUGGUAAGGUAACGGCUUACCAAGGCAACGAUGCAUAGCCGACCUGAGAGGGUGAUAGGCAAAAUGGGAACUGAGACACGGUCCAGACUCAUAGGGGAGGCAGCAGGAGGGAAUCUUCAGCAAUGGGCGAAAGCCUGACGAAGCAAAGCGGCGGGAGUGAGGAAGGUCUUCGGAUCGUAAAACUCUGUUAUUAGGGAAGAACACAUGUGGAAGUAACCGUGCACAUCUUGACGGUACCAAAGCAGAAAGCCACGGCUAACUACGU